rnacentral:lncRNA from 1 species
CAAGCCAUGCUUCCUGUACAGCCUGUGGAACGGCGCAGGGAGCUGGAAGAACACGCAAGAGACAGUAGAUGGUCUGAGAGUACCUGUGCUGAAAUGGAAUUGUCUUUGAGUGGACACUUCUUAGAUGAGACCUAUUGUGGCCAAUAGCUCCUGAGGAACUGAAGCCUUCAGUUCAAAACUUGUGUGAGAAAAAUGAAUCUUGCCAACUACUGGAGUGAGCUUAGAAAUGAAUCCAUCCCCAGUUGACCCUUGAAUGUAGCCUUGUCAGAGACCCAGAGACAAAGCAUCCUGCUAAUCUGCACUGGGUUCUAGGCCCACAGAAACCAUGGGAUAAUAACUUUGUGUUGCUAUAAGCCACUGAAAACAAACAAAUAAAAUACUUAAGAUGUUCCCCUGUGGAAGGGUUCCAUUGCCAGGGAUCUGCACUUCACAACCAAAGGGAUUAAAGAGAAUUGCCUUCUUCAG